UAAAUAUUGAGGCAGUUUAGUAGAGUUGUCGCAAUGUAUAAAGAAUGAGCCACAAAACGAAAAGCUUCAAUUUUGUUCGCGCCUGUUUCACUGAAAUGCUCCGUUUUCACAAAACCCUCCUCCUUCAUUGAGACCGCAGCCCACCCCGCCGCACUGCGCACAUUGUUGACUACGCUCCUCUACAACAAAAGCUAUUGCGCUCCUCUACAACACAAGAGCUAUUCCACUCCUCUACAGCACAAAACCCUGGUCCUAGCUGUUCAGGAGAAUAGUGGACAAUUUCAGGGAAUUGGAGUCUACAAAUUCCCUACUGGAGUUGUUGAGCAGGAAGAGGAUAUUUUUGUAGUAGCAGUAAGAGAGGUCAAAGAAGAAACAGGGUUAUUUGAGAAAGUUAAGGCAUUAUAAGAAGUCUGCAUUUUGAAGCAUGUUAUUACCAGGCAAUUGAAGCAGCUAUAGAACUGAAUCUUAAAACAGUAGAGGCGGGAGCUCAGGGUGAACACAAGAUUUAACGUGGAUAUCUUCCUGUGACAACUUUUAGCUGUCAUUACCUUGUUGAUGAAGAAUUUAGGGAAGCUAUACAAGAAUUUUUAAUACGUGAAGCUUCCCAGGCACCUGACUUGGAAUCACCCAGAAAUGGAAAGCCUUCCUCUGAAGGGAGUCAUAUUCCUGAAGGCCAUGACUUAGAUUCACCUAGCACUGUUUAGUUUAUUUUUUGCUUUUAAUUUAUGCACUCUAAUUAAGAAAUUUAAAUACAUACUUCUAUGUUUUC